CAUCAGUUAGACAGAACUCGAUCAAAAUGAAAUUCGUAGUGUUUUCCCUCCUCGUCGCCGUGGCCUGUGCCGACGGCUGUACGAGGCCCCAGCGGCUCGUGCUGCCUCCGACGAGAUCGCCAUCCUGAGGGACGACCGCGUGAUCGAGGACGACGGAAGGUACAACUUCGACGCGGAGACUGCCAACGGCAUCGUCUUUUCCGAGUCUGGCUCUCCUGUAGGAGACGAGGGAGCCAUCAACAGUGCCGGAUCCUUCUCGUACACCGCUCCUGACGGCACUGACGUCCAUCUCCAAUACGUAGCUGACGAGAACGGCUUCCAGCCCCAGGGCGCCCACCUGCCCGUGGCUCCCGAGUUCCCCCACCCGAUCCCUCAGUUCGUCCUCGACCAGAUCGCCUUCGCCGCCGAGGAGGACGCCCGCCAAGCCCGUGGAGAGGUCUCCCGCUCCUAUGGUGCUCCUCAUGAUGACUGAAAACAUUAAGCAAAUGUUUCUACCACAGAUUUUUUCUAUAUAUAUUUACAUUAUAAACUGACAUCAUACUAUCUGCUAAUGCAGAAUCUCCUAUUUAUUGUUACACAAAUAAAUAUCAUAU
rnacentral:misc_RNA from 1 species